rnacentral:tRNA from 1 species
AAUUAAGUGUCUGAUUAAAGAGUUAUCUUGAUAGGAUAAAACAAGCUUAUUGCCUUAAUUA